rnacentral:sRNA from 1 species
GCUGGGUGUGGUGGUGUACUUCUGUAAUCCCAGCAGCUUGGGAGGCUGAGGCAGGAGUACCAUAAAUUCAAAGCCAGCCUCGGCAACUUAGUGAGACCUUGUCUCAA